rnacentral:rRNA from 1 species
UACGUAGGGUGCGAGCGUUGUCCGGAAUUACUGGGCGUAAAGAGCUCGUAGGUGGUUUGUCGCGUUGUUCGUGAAAACUCACAGCUUAACUGUGGGCGUGCGGGCGAUACGGGCAGACUGGAGUACUGCAGGGGAGACUGGAAUUCCUGGUGUAGCGGUGGAAUGCGCAGAUAUCGGGAAGAACACCUAUGGCGAAGGCAGCUCUCUGGGACGGUACUGACGCUGAGACGCGAAAGCGUGGGGAGCGAACAGG